GUACUCGCUUCGGCGGCACAUAUACUAAAAUUGGAACGAUACACGGAAGAUUAGCAUGGCCCUUGCGCAAGGAUGACACGCAAAAUCGUGAAGCGUUCCACAUUUUU
rnacentral:snRNA from 1 species